rnacentral:rRNA from 1 species
AUUGAACGCUGGCGGAAUGCUUUACACAUGCAAGUCGAACGGCAGCACGGGAGCUUGCUCCUGGUGGCGAGUGGCGAACGGGUGAGUAAUGCAUCGGAACGUACCUAUUAGUGGGGGAUAACUAUCCGAAAGGAUAGCUAAUACCGCAUACGGCCUGAGGGAGAAAGCGGGGGAUCGCAAGACCUCGCGCUAAUAGAGCGGCCGAUGUUGGAUUAGCUAGUUGGUGGGGUAAAGGCCUACCAAGGCGACGAUCCAUAGCUGGUCUGAGAGGAUGAUCAGCCACACUGGGACUGAGACACGGCCCAGACUCCUACGGGAGGCAGCAGUGGGGAAUUUUGGACAAUGGGGGCAACCCUGAUCCAGCCAUUCCGCGUGAGUGAAGAAGGCCUACGGGUUGUAAAGCUCUUUCGGCAGGAACGAAACGGUGGUUACUAAUACUAGCUACUAAUGACGGUACCUGAAGAAGAAGCACCGGCUAACUACGUGCCAGCCGCCGCAGUAA